GGUUGCUUGCAAGGGCGUGUGGUGGAUGCCUUGGCGGACAGGACCGAUGAAGGACGUAGCGGGCUGCGAUAAGCCUCGGGGAGCCGUCGAGCGGGCUUUGAUCCGAGGAUUUCCGAAUGGGGGAACCCGGCCACCGUCAUGGGUGGUCACCGGCUUUGGCCGGGGGGUACGCAGGGAAGUGAAACAUCUCAGUACCUGCAGGAAAGGAUAUUCCGUGAGUAGUGGCGAGCGAAAGCGGAUCAGGCCAAACCUUGCGCGUGUGAUACCCGUCGGGGGUUGCGCGCGGGGUGUAGAGGGAUCGCGUUUGCCGGCUCCGACGGGCCGGCCGUCAGUUGCAUAAAACCAUGUGCCAGGGGAACCGGGUUGAAUACCGGGCCGCAGAGGGUGAGGGCCCCGUACCCGAACGCGCAUGGUCUGGCGAUCGCGUCUCCCAAGUAGCACGGGCCCCGUGGAAUCCCGUGCGAAUCUGUCCCGACCGUGGGAUAAGCCUAAAUAUUCCUGUCUGACCGAUAGCGAACGAGUACCGUGAGGGAAAGGUGAAAAGUACCCCGGGAGGGGAGUGAAACAGUCUCUGAAACCAUGCGCCUACGAACCGUCGGGGCCCUCUUGUGGGGUGACGGCGUGCCUAUCGAAAAAUGAGUCUGCGAGUCAGUGGCAUGUGGCGAGCAUAACCCGUGUGGGGUAUGCGUAGCGAAGGCGAGUCUUAAAAGGCGUUUAAAGUCGCGUGUCCUGGACCCGAAGCGGGAUGAUCUAGCCCUGAGCAGGUUGAAGCGCGGGUAAGACCGUGUGGAGGACCGAACCCACCUGGGUUGAAAACCGGGGGGAUGACUUGGGGCUAGGGGUGAAAGGCCAAUCAAAUUCCGUGAUAGCUGGUUCUCUCCGAAAUGCAUUUAGGUGCAGCGUCGGAUCGAUUACAUCCGGGGGGUAGAGCGACUGGAUGCUUGCGGGCCCAUAUCGGGUACCAACAGCAACCAAACUCCGAAUACCCGUGAUGCGUAUCCCGGCAGUGAGUCGGCGGGGGAUAAGCUCCGUCGUCGAAAGGGAAACAGCCCAGAUCGUCGUCUAAGGUCCCCAAGCGUGUGCUAAGUGGGAAAGGAUGUGGAGUCGCAUAGACAGCCAGGAGGUUGGCUCAGAAGCAGCCACCCUUGAAAGAGUGCGUAACAGCUCACUGGUCUAGUGGUUCCGCGCCGACAAUGUAGCGGGGCUCAAGCACACCACCGAAGACGCGGCAGUAGCUUUGCUACUGGGUAGGAGAGCGUCCCAUGCGGGGCGAAGCGGCGGCGCAAGCCCGCCGUGGACCGCAUGGGAGUGAGAAUGCAGACAUGAGUAGCGAAAGACGGGUGAAGAUCCCGUCCGCUGGACGACCAAGGGUUCCAGGGCCACGUUCAUCGUCCCUGGGUGAGUCGGGUCCUAAGGCGAGGCCGACAGGCGUAGUCGAAUGGACGAACGGGUCGAUAUUCCCGUACCGGCAUGCAACCGGCAAAACCGAAUCCGCGAGUACUAACCUCCGGGUCCGGGCUCACGUCUCCUUCGGGAGCCGGAUGCCCUGGCCUGUUGGGACCGUAACGGUAGUAGGUCAGCGCGGGAGUGACGCAGAAGGGUAGCCGGCCGCGGAGGUGGUCUUCCGUGGUCAAGCACGCAGCCCGUCCCACAGGCAAAUCCGUGGGGCGCGUGGGCGAGGUGCGAUGAUGGGCGCCGCAGGGCGCGAUAUCCGGUGAUCCCGGCUGCCGAGAAAAGCUUCGGCGUGAGGCGGCAUGCCGCCCGUACCCCAAACCGACACUGGUGGUCAGGUAGAGAAUACCAAAGCGAUCGAGCGAAUCCUGGUCAAGGAACUCGGCAAAUCACUCCCGUUCCUUCGGUUUAAGGGAGACCCCCGAUGGUGAAGCGGCUUGCCCGCGGAGCUUUUGGGGGUGGCACAGACCAGGGGGUAGCGACUGUUUACCAAAAACACAGGAGCGUGCGAAGGCGCAAGCCGCUGUAUACGCUCUGACGCCUGCCCGGUGCCGGAAGGUUAAGAGGAUCCGUCAGGCCUCGGCCGAAGCGGUGAAUUCAAGCCCCGGUAAACGGCGGUGGUAACUAUAACCAUCCUAAGGUAGCGAAAUUCCUUGUCGGGUAAGUUCCGACCUGCACGAAUGGCGUA
rnacentral:rRNA from 1 species